rnacentral:rRNA from 1 species
AACGAACGCUGGCGGCAUGCCUAACACAUGCAAGUCGAACGAGACCUUCGGGUCUAGUGGCGCACGGGUGCGUAACGCGUGGGAACCUGCCCUUAGGUUCGGAAUAACUCCCCGAAAGGGGUGCUAAUACCGGAUAAUGUCUUCGGACCAAAGAUUUAUCGCCUUUGGAUGGGCCCGCGUUGGAUUAGCUAGUUGGUAGGGUAAAAGCCUACCAAGGCGACGAUCCAUAGCUGGUCUGAGAGGAUGAUCAGCCACACUGGGACUGAGACACGGCCCAGACUCCUACGGGAGGCAGCAGUGGGGAAUAUUGGACAAUGGGCGAAAGCCUGAUCCAGCAAUGCCGCGUGAGUGAUGAAGGCCUUAGGGUUGUAAAGCUCUUUUACCCGGGAUGAUAAUGACAGUACCGGGAGAAUAAGCUCCGGCUAAUUCCGUG